GACAUGGGUUGCAGCCAAGAGCAACAGAUUCGGCAGUGAUAUCCCUGGGUAUGGAGCUCAGGCACUGCAUCUGUACCAAGGAUGCACAAGUGGCCAUUGAGCUGUAGCUCUCUAAGUCCUCCACAAGGCUCGGGAGACAUGGGAUGCUUCACUGGCGGCUUGAUAAGAGGGAAAUGCUGCUUUCCUGUGAGUGAGUGAAGGCUCCCAUGGCUGCUGGGAAGGAAGGUGGUAGCCUGCCAGCAUUGCACCCUACAGCUUGGUGCCACUGGUGAGGAGCUGCUCCUACGGAGUUGAGAACACACAGGCAUACACUGGAUCCUGACUUUGUUUCAACUGGAAAACAUAUUUGAAUAUAGACUUUUCUUU